rnacentral:rRNA from 1 species
CACGUAGGGGGCAAGCGUUGUCCGGAAUUAUUGGGCGUAAAGAGCUCGUAGGCGGCUUGUUGCGUCGGUUGUGAAAGCCCGGGGCUUAACCCCGGGUCUGCAGUCGAUACGGUCAGGCUAGAGUGUGGUAGGGGAGAUCGGAAUUCCUGGUGUAGCGGUGAAAUGCGCAGAUAUCAGGAGGAACACCGGUGGCGAAGGCGGAUCUCUGGGCCAUUACUGACGCUGAGGAGCGAAAGCGUGGGGAGCGAACAGG